rnacentral:rRNA from 1 species
AGCCUACGGAAUACUGCAUGGUAGUGGGGGACAACGUUUCGAAAGGAACGCUAAUACCGCAUACGUCCUACGGGAGAAAGCAGGGGACCUUCGGGCCUUGCGCUAUCAGAUGAGCCUAGGUCGGAUUAGCUAGUUGGUGAGGUAAUGGCUCACCAAGGCGACGAUCCGUAACUGGUCUGAGAGGAUGAUCAGUCACACUGGAACUGAGACACGGUCCAGACUCCUACGGGAGGCAGCAGC